UUCUGCAAAACUUUGUGGUUCACUCUUCUUCCGAAGCAGCCCGAGCUAUGUCAGCUGUGGUCUCUACAAACAAGAAAAAAUGGGGAGAUAUGUUAGAUGACGACGAUGUUGGGGACGAGGUUGAUUAUUUAACCUCAUAGGUUCCCUUGGUCCUUUGUGGUUUUUUGUGUGGUUUUUGUCUUGCUUUUAGACGGUUCUUUUUAACCCGGCCCUUUGUUAGCGUCUGUGCUUUCAGGGGUUUUUCUUUCUUUUUUUCUUUUUAAUAAAAUUUCUAUUUCAGCAGUGAAUCCAUAAAGUAUAUAUAAACUAAUGUAUUCUAUUGUUUGAAUUGUAGGUUCAAUUGUUGAUGCGGUAAUUUGCACUCGUAAAUUUUAU
rnacentral:lncRNA from 1 species